UGCGUAGGUGGUCUUGUAAGUCAGAAGUGAAAGGCUACGGCUUAACCGUAGUAAGCUUUUGAAACUGCAGGACUUGAGUGCAGGAGAGGAAAGUGGAAUUCCUAGUGUAGCGGUGAAAUGCGUAGAUAUUAGGAGGAGCACUAGUGGCGAAGGCGACUUUCUGGACUGUUACUGACACUGAGGCACGAAAGCGUGGGGAGCGAACA
rnacentral:rRNA from 1 species